rnacentral:rRNA from 1 species
GACGAACGCUGGCGGCGUGCUUAACACAUGCAAGUCACGGGGGCCGCAAGGGCAACCGGCGAACGGGUGCGUAACACGUGAACAACCUGCCCUCGUGUGGGGGAGUAGCCAUGCUAACGCGUGGGUAAUACCGCAUACGGUCCUUUGGGGGAGGUCCCUGGGGGAAGGAAAGCUCCGGCGCACGGGGAGGGGUUCGUGGCCUAUCAGCUA